AAAGCAUCAUCCGUAGUAAGUAUAAUGAUCACUACUGCUAUUUCUAGUUAUAGAAUAUCUUUUUUUUCAGAGUUAAUGUCCUGAUUCAGUAAGAAAUGACCAGAGAACUCCAAAACAAUUUGAGGCAUAGAAUUGUAAUAUUCAACAGGUACUAUGAAGAUAGGUUAUGAGAGAGAGAGAGAGAGACAAAGAAAAAGUUUGAGAAAAUAAUCAUGUGUUUGCAUACCUAAUUUUGGAAUUCAGGGGUCUCAGCCAAGAACUCACAAAGGUAGUGGAAAAAUUAUUUUUCUCCUCUCAAGGGAAAAUCCACAAAGGUGGGCAGAGAACCAGAGACAAGUUUGCCUUGAGGUAAGUUACAAAAUCUGCUUUACCCUUUGGUUUUCUUUGCUUUAUAGACUUCUGGGAAUAAAGAGCAAGUCCCCAAACCAGAAGAAGAUCAAAUAAGAG
rnacentral:lncRNA from 1 species